UCGUCACACCUGCAUCUCAUCUCUGUUAGCAUUGGGGAACUCACCUGCCAGUAGUUCAGAAGCUGCCAUCCAUUUCUCCCACGCAUCCACAUGCCUCUUGCCCCGAGUUUGGCCAAGUCGAUGGCCACGAGCUCCUCCACAUGCAAACCAAGCUUGUUGGAUUCAAGCUUUUAAGGCUUCGAAGCUUUUUCGAGCUUCCUUAUGCGCCUUCAUGCACGAUCGAGGUCACCCAAUCCAUGGCCAUAAGUUCUUCUCUGCUUGUGCCUCCCCUCUUCUUGCACCUAGUUCAUCGGAUCUGAGCUCCCUUGCUCACGUAUUCCUCUUACUUGCAUCGAGCUCACCCCAGAUCUGGGGGUCUGAGGUCACUGCUAUCACUCCUCUUCCCGAGCGGCACCUCUGAUGGCGCUGAGAUGCUCACUCAUGGGAUCUCCUCCGAGCUUCCCCUUCGAACUCCUUCAAG
rnacentral:lncRNA from 1 species